GAUGAACGCUGGCGGCGUGCCUAAUACAUGCAAGUCGAGCGAACAGACGAGAGUGCUUGCACUCUCUGACGUUAGCGGCGGACGGGUGAGUAACACGUGGGUAACCUACCUAUAAGACUGGGAUAACUUCGGGAAACCGGAGCUAAUACCGGAUAAUAUUUAGCUUCGCAUGAAGCAAUAGUGAAAGACGGUUCUGCUGUCACUUAUAGAUGGACCCGCGGUGUAUUAGCUAGUUGGUGAGGUAACGGCUCACCAAGGCAACGAUACAUAGCCGACCUGAGAGGGUGAUCGGCCACACUGGGACUGAGACACGGCCCAGACUCCUACGGGAGGCAGCAGUAGGGAAUCUUCCGCAAUGGACGGAAGUCUGACGGAGCAAUGCCGCGUGAGUGAAGAAGGUGUUCGGAUCGUAAAACUCUGUUGUAAGGGAAGAACAAGUACGUUAGUAACUGAACGUACCUUGACGGUACCUUACCAGAAAGCCACGGCUAACUACGUG
rnacentral:rRNA from 1 species